rnacentral:rRNA from 1 species
GACGAACGCUGGCGGCGUGCUUAACACAUGCAAGUCGAACGGUGAACCUCUUCGGAGGGGAUCAGUGGCGAACGGGUGAGUAACACGUGGGCAACCUGCCCCCGGCUCUGGGAUAACUCCAAGAAAUUGGGGCUAAUACCGGAUGUUCACCGCUUCCCGCAUGGGUGGUGGUGGAAAGGGUUUCCGGCUGGGGAUGGGCCCGCGGCCUAUCAGCUUGUUGGUGGGGUAGUGGCCUACCAAGGCGACGACGGGUAGCCGGCCUGAGAGGGUGACCGGCCACAGUGGGGCAGAGGCGCGGCAGGGGAGGAGCGGGGAGGCAGCGGGGGGGGAGGGUGGGGGAUGGGCUGAAGGAUGACGCAGCGACGCAGGGGGGGAGAGGACGGACGUCGGGGUGUAGAAGAGGAUGAGCAGGAAAGAAGCGUGCGGGAAGGGGCGGGAAAAGGAAGCACCGGCAAACUAGGGG